rnacentral:rRNA from 1 species
UCCUGGCUCAGAACGAACGCUGGCGGCAGGCUUAACACAUGCAAGUCGAACGCCCCGCAAGGGGAGUGGCAGACGGGUGAGUAACGCGUGGGAACAUACCCUUUCCUGCGGAAUAACUCCGGGAACUGGAAUUAAUACCGCAUACGCCCUACGGGGGAAAGGUUUAUCGGGGAAGGAUUGGCCCGCGUUGGAUUAGCUAGUUGGUGGGGUAAAGGCCUACCAAGGCGACGAUCCAUAGCUGGUCUGAGAGGAUGAUCAGCCACAUUGGGACUGAGACACGGCCCAAACUCCUACGGGAGGCAGCAGUGGGGAAUAUUGGACUAAUGGGCGCAAGCCUGAUCCAGCCAUGCCGCGUGAGUGAUGAAGGCCUUAGGGUUGUAAAGCUCUUUCACCGAUGAAGAUAAGACGGUAGUCGGAGAAG